UACGUGAGGGGGCAAGCGUUGUCCGGAAUCAUUGGGCGUAAAGAGCGCGUAGGCGGCCCGGUAAGUCCGCUGUGAAAGUCAAGGGCUUAACCCUUGAAUGCCGGUGGAAACUGCCGGGCUAGAGUCCGGAAGAGGCGAGUGGAAUUCCUGGUGUAGCGGUGAAAUGCGCAGAUAUCAGGAGGAACACCGAUGGCGAAGGCAGCUCGCUGGGACGGUACUGACGCUGAGACGCGAAAGCGUGGGGAGCGAACAGG
rnacentral:rRNA from 1 species